UUUUCAAAGCUCUGGGAAACUUUGACAUUCCUCAGCAUGGAGAGCAACAGGCUGCCCUGCCUGGAGUACAGGGGAGGGGUGGAUCAUUGGUCUGUGAGCUGAUGACACUAUUGGGAUUGGGUGGCAACCUGGGCAGCAGUGACCAUGAGAUGGUUGAGUUAAGA